rnacentral:rRNA from 1 species
UACGAAGGGUGCAAGCGUGAAUCGGAAUUACUGGGCGUAAAGCGUGCGCAGGCGGCUUUGCAAGACAGAUGUGAAAUCCCCGGGCUCAACCUGGGAACUGCAUUUGUGACUGCAAGGCUAGAGUACGGUAGAGGGGGAUGGAAUUCCGCGUGUAGCAGUGAAAUGCGUAGAUAUGCGGAGGAACACCGAUGGCGAAGGCAAUCCCCUGGACCUGUACUGACGCUCAUGCACGAAAGCGUGGGGAGCAAACAGG